rnacentral:rRNA from 1 species
AUUGAACGCUGGCGGCAGGCCUAACACAUGCAAGUCGAACGAGUGGCGGACGGGUGAGUAAUGUCUGGGAAACUGCCCGAUGGAGGGGGAUAACUACUGGAAACGGUAGCUAAUACCGCAUACCAUCGGAUGUGCCCAGAUGGGAUUAGCUAGUAGGUGGGGUAACGGCUCACCUAGGCGACGAUCCCUAGCUGGUCUGAGAGGAUGACCAGCAAAAUGGGAACUGAGACACGGUCCAGCCCCCUACUGGAGGCAGCAGUGGGGAAUAGUGCACAAUGGGCGGAAGCAUAAUGCAGCAAUACCGCGUGUAUGAAGAAGGCGUUCUGGUUGUAAAGUACUUUCAGCGAGGAGGCGUUACUCGCAGAAGAAGCACCGGCUAACUCCGUGCCAGCAGCCGCGGUAAUU